rnacentral:rRNA from 1 species
CACCGCCCGUCGCUACUACCUGAUGGAUUAUUUAGUGAGGUUUCUGGAGGCUUACCUUCGCCGGUUCCUUCGUGAGCUGCAGCUGGCAUGGCUGAAGUUGACGAACUUGAUGAUUUAGAGGAAAGUAAAAGUCGUAACAAGGUUUCCGUGGUGAACCUGCGGAAG